GGUAAAAGGCUGGGCUGAAGGACAAGAAGGGCAGAGGCUUGAAGCCUUCUGAGGUGUUAUGGUGUCACUCUGUAUGGGUUGAAGCUUUCUGAAAUUGUAUGGGGACACUUUAUGUAUUGUGGCCAUCUCAGCUGUGGCAUGUGCUGCGACAGCCACAUGCACACCCUGUGUUCCUCUCCUUGAACAGCUCCUUCCCAUCCCUUAUUUCUCGUGAUGGGACAAGCUCAUGCAGGUGGAGGCUGUUACAGCCCAGCCCCAGCAUCGAAUCUCACGGGGCAACAUCAGCACCUUCCAACAGAAAAGGUCUGUGGUGGUCAAGUGACCAGCUGGAACGAUUCAAUGGGAUUUAAUCAUUGCUUCAGUCAUACAGGACACCAUCACCCCACGGAGCUGCAAACAGGGUCUGUGCUGCCUGUGAAACCUUGGUGCCAACUUGCCUUUGCUUGGGUAUCAGCUGGUGAUCUCUGGCCAGGUUGAGUCUGGCACUCAGGGUGUCCUGCUUGGUCCCACACCAACCUGGCAGAGGAAUUUUAAAUACUGGAUAAGACUCUCCACAGGAGACAGAGGAGUUUGGACUGGUGUGGAAGAGUUUCACAGCGACUUCUGUGAGCCAGAGAAAGUCUGAUAAGAGGAUCCAUGUUUACCUCUGAAAGAAUUUCCUACCAAGGUCGUUGACAUAGAAACCAAGAAAGAAAGAAGGAGAAAUAAGAGAAACCUGCAACUGCCUGUUCCAGUGAGCACUUUGUCUCUCAUGACCAAUGAGCAAAGUGUAAACUUAUGAGUUCUGUAAGAAUGUAUAAAAAGCAUGCAUGCUAGAAUAAAAACAGGUUUGAAGCCUUCUGAAAA